rnacentral:rRNA from 1 species
CCUACGGGAGGCAGCAGUGGGGAAUUUUGCGCAAUGGGGGAAACCCUGACGCAGCAACGCCGCGUGAGUGAUGAAGGCCUUCGGGUUGUAAAGCUCUUUUAGUGGGGAAGAAGCCCUCCGGGGUUAAUACCUCCGGGGUCUGACGGUACCCACAGAAAAAGUUCCGGCUAACUACGUGCCAGCAGCCGCGGUAAUACGUAGGGAGCAAGCGUUGUUCGGAAUUAUUGGGCGUAAAGAGCGCGUAGGCGGUUCGGUAAGUCUGACGUGAAAUCCCGGAGCUUAACUCCGGAACUGCGUUGGAUACUGCCGGGCUUGAGUGUGGGAGAGGAGAGUGGAAUUCCCAGUGUAGAGGUGAAAUUCGUAGAUAUUGGGAGGAACACCCGUGGCGAAGGCGGCUCUCUGGACCACAACUGACGCUGAGGCGCGAAAGCUAGGGGAGCAAACGGGAUUAGAUACCCCGGUAGUCCUAGCCGUAAACGAUGGGCACUAGGUGUUGGAGGUAUCGACCCCUCCAGUGCCGCAGCUAACGCAUUAAGUGCCCCGCCUGGGGAGUACGGUCGCAAGACUAAAACUCAAAGGAAUUGACGG